rnacentral:rRNA from 1 species
GACGAACGCUGGCGGCGUGCCUAAUACAUGCAAGUAGAACGCUGAAGGAGGAGCUUGCUUCUCUGGAUGAGUUGCGAACGGGGGAGUAACGCGUAGGUAACCUGCCUGGUAGCGGGGGAUAACUCUUGGAAACGAUAGCUAAUACCGCAUAAGAGUAGAUGUUGCAUGACAUUUGCAUAAAAGGUACAAUUGCGUCACUACCAGAUGGACCUGCGUUGUAUUAGCUAGUUGGUGGGGUUACGGCUUACCAAGGCGACGAUACAUAGCCGGACUGAGAGGGGGGUCGGCCAAACUGGGACCUGGGCAAGGCCCCGGCUUCUUCCGGAAGCAGCCGUAGGGAAACUUCGGCAAUUGACGGAAGUCUGACCGGACAACGGCGGGUUAGGGAAGAAGGGUCUCCGGUCCGUAAGAUCUGUUGUAAGGGAAGAACGAGUGUUAGAGUGGAAAGUGCACACUGUGACGGUAUCUGACCAGAAAGGGACGGCUAACUACGUG